rnacentral:piRNA from 1 species
UAUGUGACUAGACCAUGUCGAGC